rnacentral:rRNA from 1 species
UGCAAGUAUCCGCACACCCGUGAAAACGCCCUUAACACCUUACUAGGAUAAGGAGCCGGUAUCAGGCACAGUAACUCUUGCCCACAACACCUAGCUUCGCCACACCCCCAAGGGUUUUCAGCAGUGAUAAACAUUGUUAAUAAGCGCCAGCUUGACUCAGUUAAAGUAAAUAGAGCCGGCUAACCCGGUGCCAGCCGCCGCGGCUAUCCCGUCGGGCCCAAAUUGACUUGCUACGGUGUUAAACGUGUUUAAAGUGCUUUAACAAUUAGAAUUUUAUUUUAACCAAGUUGUGAUACACUUGUUGCUAAGAAAGACAAAAACGAAAGUUAUUCUAAUUUUACCACUUGAACCCACGACAGCUGGGACACAAACUGGGAUUAGGUACCCCACUAUGCCCAGCCGUAAAAUAUUUAUUUACAUCAUUAACCGCCAGGGAAUUACGAGCCCAAGCUUAAAACCCAAAGGACUUGACGGUGCCCCACCCACCUAGAGGAGCCUGUUCUAUAAUCGAUUUUCCACGUUAUACCCAACCGUUUUUAGCCUAUCAGCCUGUAUACCUCCGUCGCAAGCUUACCAUAUGAACGUAAAUUAGUGAGCCAAAAGAUCUUAAACCAACACGUCAGGUCAAGGUGCAGCCCAAAAAACGGAAAGAAAUGGGCUACAAUUUCUAACUUAGAACACACGAAAGGCUGCAUGAAACACAGCCACGAAGGCGGAUUUAGCAGUAAAAAGAAAAUAGAGAGUUCUUUUUAAUCAGGCACUGGGACGCGUACACACCGCCCGUCACCCUCUUCAACUUAUGCUGAUUGAGGUAUAUAACACAACCAUGCCCCACAGAA